rnacentral:rRNA from 1 species
AGUGAACGCUGGCGGUAGGCCUAACACAUGCCAGUCGAACGGCAGCACAGUAAGAGCUUGCUCUUACGGGUGGCGAGUGGCGGACGGGUGAGGAAUACAUCGGAAUCUACUUUUUCGUGGGGGAUAACGUAGGGAAACUUACGCUAAUACCGCAUACGACCUACGGGUGAAAGCAGGGGAUCUUCGGACCUUGCGCGAUUGAAUGAGCCGAUGUCGGAUUAGCUAGUUGGCGGGGUAAAGGCCCACCAAGGCGACGAUCCGUAGCUGGUCUGAGAGGAUGAUCAGCCACCCUGGAACUGAGACACGGUCCAGACUCCUACGGGAGGCAGCAGUGGGGAAUAUUGGACAAUGGGCGCAAGCCUGAUCCAGCCAUACCGCGUGGGUGAAGAAGGCCUUCGGGUUGUAAAGCCCUUUUGUUGGGAAAGAAAAGCAGCAGGUUAAUACCCCGCUGUUCUGACGGUACCCAAAGAAUAAGCACCGGCUAACUUCGUG